UGCCAGCCGCCGCGGUAAUACGUAGGGAGCAAGCGUUGUCCGGAUUUAUUGGGCGUAAAGCGCGUGUAGGCGGUCCAGUAAGUCGGAUGUGAAAUCCAAGGGCUCAACCCUUGAACUGCAUCCGAUACUGCUGGACUUGAGGUAGGUAGAGGAGAGUGGAAUUUCUGGUGUAGCGGUGGAAUGCGCAGAUAUCAGAAGGAACACCGAUGGCGAAGGCAGCUCUCUGGGCCUUACCUGACGCUGAGACGCGAAAGCAUGGGUAGCAAACAGGAUUAGAUA
rnacentral:rRNA from 1 species